rnacentral:rRNA from 1 species
UCCGUAGGCGGGUAAUUAAGUCAGAGGUGAAAUCCCACAGCUCAACUGUGGAACUGCCUUUGAUACUGGUUGUCUUGAGUUACAGUGAAGUAGAUAGAAUAUGUAGUGUAGCGGUGAAAUGCAUAGAUAUUACAUAGAAUACCGAUUGCGAAGGCAGUCUACUAACUGUAUACUGACGCUAAUGGACGAAAGCGCGGGGAGCGAACAGGAUUAGAUACCCUGGUAGUC